rnacentral:rRNA from 1 species
CGCCCGAAGCCAUUAGGCCGAGGGCACGCCUGCCUGGGCGUCACACGCCGUCGCCCCCCCGACCAAUCCCUCGGGACUGCGGGGGGCGGAUGAUGGCCUCCCGCGCGCCCCGUCGCGCGGUUGGCACAAAUGCCAAGUCCUCGGCGGCGCACGCCACGACAAUCGGUGGUUGCGAGACCUCGGUUGCCCGUCGUGCGCGGUCGUCGCGCAUCGAGGGCUCGAAAAACUGCCCGGCUCCGGCUCGGCUUUCAACGCGACCCCAGGUCAGGCGGGGUUACCCGCUGAAUUUAAGCAUAUCAAUAAGCGGAGGAAAAGAAACUUACGAGGAUUCCCCUAGUAACGGCGAGCGAACCGGGAACAGCCC